rnacentral:rRNA from 1 species
CCUACGGGUGGCUGCAGUGAGGAAUAUUGGUCAAUGGACGAGAGUCUGAACCAGCCAAGUAGCGUGAAGGAUGACUGUCCUAUGGGUUGUAAACUUCUUUUAUAUGGGAAUAAAACGUUCCACGUGUGGGAUUUUGUAUGUACCAUAUGAAUAAGGAUCGGCUAACUUCGUUCCAGCCGCCCCGGGAAUACGGUGGAUCCGAGCGUUAUCCGGAUUUGUUGGGUUUAAAGGGAGCGUAGGUGGGUUGUUAAGUCAGUUGUGAAAUUUUGCGGCUCAACCGUAGAAUUGCAGUUGAAACUGGCAGUCUUGAGUACAGUAGAGGUAGGCGGAAUUCGUGGUGUAGCGGUGAAAUGCUUAGAUAUCACGAAGAACUCCGAUUGCGAAGGCAGUUCACUGGACUGCAACUGACACUGAGGCUCGAAAGUGUGGGUAUCAAACAGGAUUAGAUACCCCUGUAGUC